AGUACAGUAAGGGAUAUAAUGUGUUAUGUUUCUACUGUAACCCUGGAGACAGAAAUCUCUAAACUUGAGCUUACUGAAUUCUUACAGAUGUUUUAUGUUGCCUAGUAACUGUUUUCAAUUCUCUCUUCUGUUUUUCUUUUUUGUGUCUCCCAGUUUUUAUUUCUUUGUCUGUUUCUCUCUUCCCUUCAUGGCCUCUAGUUUAAGAAAUUACAACAAAUACUUGUUUAUCAAGACAUGUUUUUCAUGUAAAUAAUUUAGGCUAAAACCACUGCUUUAGCCUCUUCUUGAUGCUCCAACUGAUUUUAUGUGGCUAAUGGCUGUUGCAUCUUAUUGGUCCCUCUGCCGCCGUUCCUUCUGCUGCCUGCCUCUCUUUGUGUCAGGUGAGAAGUCGUGGCUUGGCGGAGGGCUUUCUAACACGUGAUUGGCAGGUCUAUCCGUCACUCAGCUCCUGGGACUCUCGCUCGCUCUAAUUAGGUCGCUUGGCUUGUUCACCUCCCAGGGUUGGAUGCUACAGCAGAGCACAGAUCAAAUGACACCCCCUUGUUUUGUGGGGGACGUUUAAAGGCGGUGGCAGAAGGCAGAGGGAAGGCAUCUGUUUGGCGUCUGAAGCCCCCACACAGAAACGUCCUUUCCACACAGGGAAAAUAUUAACCAGAAAUUAGCAGCAGCUGCAUGGGAAACACAAAAAGAGGAGCAGUAACUGGAUCUCUCUGCUGUACAAACAAAAAUGCAACGUGAAAUCAUCCUGAAAUUAUUAUUAUUGUUUUGUAUUUUGUAUUUGCUGCUGUCUGGUCUGGCAUUAAAAACAAUCAGUUGAAGAUGA